ACUUCAGCCCCUCCCGAUGAUGACUAGAUGCUUAGAUAGGAGGAUUUUGAUUUCAAAGAUUUUUAAUAUAUUUUAUUUUUAUUUAAAAAAUAUUAUAAUAUAAUUUGAUCAGUAAUAUAAUUUGAAUAUUUGAGACAUAUUCCUACAUUAUUAUUGAGUUUUAUGUGAAAUUUUUGAUUCUUGUAAAUUAUAUACUGAACUGCAUCUAUCAGAUAAAAAAUGAUAAAUUUAAGCAGUUAGAAAG
rnacentral:lncRNA from 1 species